rnacentral:lncRNA from 1 species
UUUGUAUAUAUUUGGUUCGUUAGGUACAUUUCGAUAAAAAAUGACAAAAGGAGCGAAAAAUUGGCAAAUAGGGGUUGAAUCCAAAGUUCAAGGACUAAACUGUAAAGUACCAAUAGUUGAUUCGGACCCCAUAUCGAUGAUUGGAGAAGAUGUAAAGUCAAUUGUAUGAAAUUGCAAGCUAAAGGAGCAAGAAGAUAUCAACUAAGAGUUAAAUAAAUGAAGACCGAAAUUGGAGGAUUAAAGUGCAACAAUUGAGAAUUUGUUUAUACAGUGCGUGCGCAGGACCUCAAGUCCAUACCGAGAGGAAAAGCACAAAGUGGCACGCACGCGAUGGAAAGUAUGGCGUGCGCGGGGUAAAUUCUGGGCCGAACGGCACAGCCUCCGUUUUUAACCUAAACUCUUAUGGAAAGAAAAAAGGAACAAUUGGGAAAGAAAGGGAGGAGGCAGAAUACAAGAGAAAAGCAGACGAUACAUAAUUUUCACCACAAGAAGGAAGGAAGGAAAAUUGUAAGCCAACUUUUGAGAGAAUUUACAUCAAAAGCGAAGAAUUCAUCGCUUGGAUCCGGAUUUGAAGGCACAAAUUGAAGAUUUUCAGAUUUUCUUCAUCUUUAAUUAUUAGGGUGAUGACUUUCUUUUAUUCUCUUUACUUUCUUUUAUUCUCUUUGUAAUUCUUACGCUAACAUGAUAGGCUAAAUUCCUU